AUCCACUUGGUGAAUCCGAAAUAGGACGAAACGCACGUCGUAGAU
rfam:Schistosoma rodhaini strain Burundi genome assembly, scaffold: SROB_scaffold0008392